GACGAACGCUGGCGGCGUGCUUAACACAUGCAAGUCGAACGGAAAGGCCCUGCUUUUGUGGGGUGCUCGAGUGGCGAACGGGUGAGUAACACGUGAGUAACCUGCCCUUGACUUUGGGAUAACUUCAGGAAACUGGGGCUAAUACCGGAUAGGAGCUCCUGCUGCAUGGUGGGGGUUGGAAAGUUUCGGCGGUUGGGGAUGGACUCGCGGCUUUUCAGGUUGUUGGUGGGGUAGUGGCUUACCAAGGCUUUGACGGGUAGCCGGCCUGAGAGGGUGACCGGCCACAUUGGGACUGAGAUACGGCCCAGACUCCUACGGGAGGCAGCAGUGGGGAAUAUUGCACAAUGGGCGGAAGCCUGAUGCAGCAACGCCGCGUGCGGGAUGACGGCCUUCGGGUUGUAAACCGCUUUCGCCUGUGACGAAGCGUGAGUGACGGUAAUGGGUAAAGAAGCACCGGCUAACUACGUG
rnacentral:rRNA from 1 species